rnacentral:lncRNA from 1 species
GGGGGGAUUUGGGAACCCCCAGCCCCAAAUUCUGCGGCAGCGGGGGCUGGGCUGGAUCAGGCACUUCUGGGCACUGCGGGGAGGGGACAGGGACGGACAGAGGGACGGACAGGAUGGACAGAGGGAUGGACAGGGAGGGACAGAGGGAUGGACACAGGGAUGGAUUGGGAUGGACACAGGGAUGGACAGGGAUGGACAUGGGGGGGGGGACAGGGAUGGACAGAGGGAGGGACAGAGGGAUGGACAGAGGGAUGGACAGGGAGGGACAUGGGGGGGACAGAGGGAUGGACAUGGAGGGACAGAGAGAGGGACAGAGGGAUGGACACAGGAGGGACAUAGGGGGGGACAGGGAGGGACAGAGGGACACAGGAUGGACACAGGGAUGGACAGAGGGAUGGACAGGGAUGGACACAGGGAUGGACACAGGGAUGGACACAGGAUGGACAGAGGGAUGGACACAGGGAUGGACAGAGGAUGGACAGGGAUGGACACAGGGAUGGACAGAGGAUGGACACAGGGAUGGACAGGGAGGGACAUGGGGGGGACAGGGAGGGACACAGGGAUGGACAGAGGGAUGGACACAGGAUGGACACAGGGAUGGACAGGGAUGGACAGAGGGAUGGACACAGGAUGGACAGAGGGAUGGACACAGGGAUGGACACAGGAUGGACGCUGCAUCCACAGCCCUGCUGUCCCAUCCCGCUGUCCCAGCCCUGCCCUGUCCCCAGCCCCGGGUGCCCACAC